GUGCUGUGAGUGAUGGUCUGUGCUGUCAGUGAUGGUCUGUGCUGUCUGUGCUUGAUGGUCUGUGCUGUCAGUGAUGAGUCUGUGCUCUCUGUCUGUGCUGGUCUGUGCUGGCUGUCAGUGAUGGUCUGUGCUGGCUGUCAGUGGGCUUCUGACUCUCUCUAUCAGUGUACACAUGGUUAACAGCAGAGGCAGAUGUUUAGACAUUCGCAUUAGGCCAGGUAUUGUGAGUUUGUCAGUUACCAAAUGUAAUGUCUUUAUCUAUCAUCUUUGGUAUGUAAUAAUACUAGGGAAGGUCAUCUCUGUUAUAUCAAGUGUAAAAUGAUCCCCUUGGAUCAGUACAAACCAGGGUCUGAUCAUAACAAAGUUAAACUUUGUCUUUUGUCAGAAAAAAACCCCCCACUUGUGUCAAAUAUCCACAGGCACACAUCUGUGCAUGUUGUUUACUGCUCAGAAGAAGCAAGAGGUAAAAAUGUAGCCUAUUUAAGUUGGAAUACAUAUUUAGGCGUAUUAAGUAUUCAUUUAUUAUCUUUUCUUUACAUACCGUGGGCUUAAUAACGUGCGCUGUACAACAAUUGCAGAAUAUUUCCAUGAAUUUCACGAGUCAUUAAACCUCGUCGCAUCAGUGCAGGCUUUAAUUUCCAUGCAGCAUACUGUCGCAGCAGGACAUAAACGGAUUUUGCGUGCGACUAUUUUCUCCAAACCGACCGCCCUUUAGGCAUCGCGGCAUCCCAGCAAAUACCAGAGAGAAGCCUGCUUGCAUUUCAUGUUUACCACUGGUAGUUUAAAAGUCACACUCCUGCAAUUGGAGUUGUUUCUCUGCUGUAUAAAAGUGCUGCGUGUGUCAACUUAGCACUGCGGGUUUGCCUGGCGUGUCUCUGUUUAGGAGAAUUGUCAUUGUUCCGAACAGGUAAUGGCGCCACCCUUCCCCCCGCCCAGUUCUUUACCCUGCUAGCGAUGUAUUAUGAAGAGUUCAUUGCACACAGUAAUUGGUGAGCAGAUAAUGUAGUCAGCCCUCCGAAACGCCCCGGCCGCCGAAGCUAACGUUAAUCACAGUGUUUAGACAGAACUGCGGAAAACUUCUGUUAUUGCCUAGUGCCAGUGGUGGAUACAUUUGUAGCAAGAGUGGAUGAGAGAAGGUAAGUUGCUUUGUUUAUGGGUAGCACGAUUGAAAGACGAGACCGGACGGUGAUACGUGUAAGCAAAUCCGUGUGUUUUAUAAAUGCUCGGUUUGUUUUGUUUUGUUUUAUUUUUUACAAUGGGCAAGUAACUCCUCUCAUUUGAAAGAAGUAAUAUGCGUCAUUUGAAACAAUGAAUUAAUGAUGACAUUUUCAAGUCAUUCAAUUGGGAUUUACGCGAAGAAGCAGUCUGCCAGCGUAAGUCGAGUUAAAGCUAACUUUUGGAAUACUAGUUUUAACACACACAAUGGCUUCUCUUAAACGAAAUACACAACUUACUUUUUCCAUUCAUCUGAUAUUUAUUUGUCUGAAGUAACUUCAACAAGACAAAAACACCCCAACACAAGUUAACGGACCUGUAGCUUCACCGCUAGCUAGUUAUAUAGCAACAGGCAACUUGGAAAUACCGUUACACAGUUGCUUGCGGUUGUGUCCAUAUCGUCUUGGGAUAGGGAAAAGGGUGGUAGAAUUAAACAUUUAUUUUGUUUUUAUGAAAGCGAUUAGUGUUUUGUGUGUAAUACAGAGUGUAAAACUCUUGAGGUAGCCUAUUCAUCUGCCCAUCACGGAGCUUCUAAUUCUUACACCAACUAGCACUCAGAUUUGAAACUACACGAAGCUGUUGCACUUUUAAAGUAAUAUCUGUGCACCUGCUAACUUCUGGGAUUUGUGUGAGUGCCUUCAUCUCAGUACAUGCGUAGAUUUUCAGAGACAGACUUUUGCAUCAAUUGCACACUUUUGCAUUACUCGGUACGCGCAGAUAUCUGGUCAUCGUAAUUUUUUUUUCGUUCAAAAUCAACAGUGCGCUUUCCUUAUGUAAACCAUCGAAUGCAAACCCACCCAGAAAGAUGGCUCAUCCUAACCGGUGACUUGGAAAACAGCAGUUGCUUGCGCAGUACAUCUGCCUCGUUGACGUGGAUCAAGAGUAACCUCAAGAUAGAAUUAUUUCAGCACAGCUUACAAUAAAUACAAUGGCCAUGACUAGCGAACAAACAUAUGUACUCUUCGUUUUGAUUUGUUCGGUUGUUAUAAUUGCAGGGCAUGUAAUUAACCCUUUCGUAUCACGUGUCAAUGGUUCUCUCCUCCAUAUUCUGGAUAAUCAACCAUGUCCUGCAUGUUAGGCACUCUUCCAUUUGGCAGCUCUGUUCAGUUUGCUUACACCGACUCCAUGAGUCCAUGAGAAUUACACCGCCUUUUUGUGCUCCUUGUCAUCCCAUGUGGUUAGGAGAGAGUGCCCAUCUUUUUGGCCUAGAUUCAGGUGACCUCUCUGUCACACAGAUGGUGAGAAGGAAAACAGCGGUGGUUGCCAAAGCAAAGUGAUGCUGAGGGCUGGGUGCCCGCC
ensembl:lncRNA